rnacentral:rRNA from 1 species
UACGAAGGGGGCUAGCGUUGCUCGGAUUUACUGGGCGUAAAGGGCGCGUAGGCGGACAGUUAAGUUGGGGGUGAAAGCCCGGGGCUCAACCUCGGAAUUGCCUUCAAUACUGGCUGUCUUGAGUGUGAGAGAGGUGUGUGGAACUCCGAGUGUAGAGGUGAAAUUCGUAGAUAUUCGGAAGAACACCAGUGGCGAAGGCGAAUACACUGGCUCACUACUGACGCUGAGGUGCGAAAGCGUGGGGAGCAAACGGG